UCCGGUUGAUCCUGCCGGAGGCCACUGCUAUGGGGGUCCGACUAAGCCAUGCGAGUCAUGGGGCGCCUUGCGCGCACCGGCGGACGGCUCAGUAACACGUCGGUAACCUACCCUCGGGAGGGGGAUAACCCCGGGAAACUGGGGCUAAUCCCCCAUAGGCCUGGGGUACUGGAAGGUCCUCAGGCCGAAAGGGGCUCUGCCCGCCCGAGGAUGGGCCGGCGGCCGAUUAGGUAGUUGGUGGGGUAACGGCCCACCAAGCCGAAGAUCGGUACGGGCCAUGAGAGUGGGAGCCCGGAGAUGGACACUGAGACACGGGUCCAGGCCCUACGGGGCGCAGCAGGCGCGAAACCUCCGCAAUGCGGGAAACCGCGACGGGGGGACCCCCAGUGCCGUGGCAACGCCACGGCUUUUCCGGAGUGUAAAAAGCUCCGGGAAUAAGGGCUGGGCAAGGCCGGUGGCAGCCGCCGCGGUAAUACCGGCGGCCCGAGUGGUGGCCGCUAUUAUUGGGCCUAAAGCGUCCGUAGCCGGGCCUGUAAGUCCCUGGCGAAAUCCCACGGCUCAACCGUGGGGCUUGCUGGGGAUACUGCAGGCCUUGGGACCGGGAGAGGCCGGGGGUACUCCU
rnacentral:rRNA from 1 species